AUUCAAAAUUUCAAUAUGUACACUAUUUGGUUAUCAAUUUUGUUGUACAAGUAAUAUUACAUGCAUAAUAUAUCCCUCAAGGUGUAAAAACAACUUUUUGAAAAAAGUAAAUAGAAGACAUAUAUUUUAAUCCUACAUACGUACAAUUAGUGCUCUCUUCUCUCUCUUCGCUCUUCCACUAACGGUCACCAUCCACCUACCCGCCAGUGCUCGCACCACCACCGGCGGCCGCCGAAAAAUACAGGUAAUUAACCCUACACUCUUUUUUUCUCUCUCUCAUCCUUUCUUCCGCCCUCCUUCCCCUGUUCCUCUUUUCCGUCCUCACUGCCUUUCUGCCCCAAACCCAAAGCCGCUUGUGUUUCUUCCUCUCCCUCUCUCUUUUUCCAUCUUUUGUCUUCCCCACCCUAUCUCCCUUGUUCUCCAUCUGUUUUUUCCCUCUUUCCCGUCCUUUUAAGAAAAUCACCGCCACUCAGAUCUGAGCCGAGGAGCAUCGCCGCUGCUCUCCAUAUCUUAUCCUUCAAGUGUGGCAGGUUAUCAAAUUGCUGGCGAAUAUCAGCAAAGAGGCGAGUGGAACACUCGUGCUAGCAAAGAAUAGCAAAUAACAGCGGCCGCAGAGGCUUGUGGGAGUGCGUAGAAGGUCAGUAUUAUAGCAACGCCUCGACAUCCAAUUGGUGAUCCAGGUUCUAUCCACCCAGAGUUGACAUUUUGAUGAGUUUCUUGAUAAAUCCGGGUUGAAGAAGUUCUUAUGAAUUAGAUGAUGAAGAAAUGAAGACGCAUAGAACAAGAAAGAAAGAAAGAGAGAGAGAGAGAGAGAGAAAUGGAACUGUUAUUUGUACGAAUAUUUAUAAGUAGUGGAGUAACUACUUUUCGUGGACGGUAGUAGUAUUUGAUUGCGUGCUGCAUUAUGAACUUAUGAUCACUUAUUUAUAAUUUUUAUUUUCUUUUUCUUCUU